rnacentral:lncRNA from 1 species
AUUUGAACUAGAUUGAAAUUUAAAUGGAUAUUCUUUUCUAUGUAACUGAGUCAAGAGUCAGCAUAAAGCAAUUACAUACGUAUCUAAAAGUUCAAGAAUAUGGUUAGCAUAAAGCAAUUACAUAUGCACAUACAGCAUCAAACUACAGCUAACAACUAAUGACAUAAACAUGCAACUCCCGAAGUAAAAGCUCGUAGUAUUCAAGAGGCUCUGAACACAAUGUAUUGGUACACGAGAUCAAUGUACAUCGUUUCUAAUACAUGACCACAACCAUGUGUAGUUAACUUGGAUUUGGUUGAUUUCACAUUCCCUAUACACCAAACAGAAAUUUUCACCAAGAAUGCAUUUAUGUACAAAGAUUCAAU